AGGAUAUGCUCUUAGAAGAUGC
rnacentral:siRNA from 1 species